rnacentral:rRNA from 1 species
CGCCCUUCCUACGGGAGGCAGCAGUAGGGAAUAUUGGUCAAUGGGUGAGAGCCUGAACCAGCCAUGCCGCGUGCAGGAAGACGGCCUUCUGGGUUGUAAACUGCUUUUAUCUGGGGAUAAAAUGANCCGUGCGCGGUAAUGAAG